rnacentral:rRNA from 1 species
GACAGAGGGUGCAAACGUUGUUCGGAAUUACUGGGCGUAAAGCGUGUGUAGGCGGCCUUGCAAGUCGGAUGUGAAAGCCCCGGGCUCAACCCGGGAAGUGCACUCGAUACUGCAGGGCUUGAGUAUCGUAGAGGUUGGUGGAAUUCUCGGUGUAGAGGUGAAAUUCGUAGAUAUCGAGAGGAACACCGGCGGCGAAGGCGGCCUUCUGGACAGUAACUGACGCUGAGACGCGAAAGCGUGGGGAGCAAACAGG